CCUAUAUUUUUUAUUGACCAAAAAAAUAUAAGAAAGCUUUUCUUUCUCUCUCUCCAACUUUACCCUUUUUCCAGUUAGCUUGACAUUUUCUCUAAAACUAUCGAUGAACUGAAGAGGAAGAGCAAAAGGUGUAUAACUAGUAUCACGAAUCAAAGAUCAAUGAACCGAGCUAAAGGUGGAGAACUGAGCUAGAGAUAUCUUUGAUACUGAAGAUCAAUGAACUGAGCUGAAGUUGAACAUCUCAAGAAAGACGAACUGAGCUGAAGAUGCAAAGCUAAAGCAAAAGAAAUGAAGAGGGCAAGCUGAAGAACUGAAGAGUUGAGCUGAAGAUUUCUUCAAUAUCGAUUUAGUGAAGCCGAGCAGCUGCUGCAACUGCAUCUAGAAAGUUCUAAGAUGAGAGUAUCCCAAUUUUGACAAAGUUAAAUAUCAUGGACCUGCAAACUGGAAAUGAGAAGCAUGUUCUGAUUUGUUUUGAUUCAUUAUGCCAACAACAAAUUUGAUUGGUCAGGCGAAGCGGAAGCCUGUAUUCAUAAAAGACGGAGCAACAACUGCAUGGAAUUCAAGAAAGGACAGUGAGUGUGCGGCUGCAGUGCUUCUCGUGAAGAGAAUUAUCGCUAUGCAUAAGGGACUUCAGGUUUUUUUAUUGUUAGUACUAACCGCCAUGAUGCUCAACAUACACUAUUAGUCGGAUAAUUUUAAACAACAUGCAGGUAGUAGCUAUUUUCUCCUAAAAAGUGAAACAGGCUUUUAAAAGCUGUAUUUAAACAAACAUUAUGGGUUUUAGGGAGUUUCCCAUCGUCUCCUUUUAUCUCUGGAAUUUUACCGUCUUCCGAUCGACGUAGCUCCGCAUUUUUAUAAACAUGAUGCUGACUUAUAUUAGUUUUAGACUUCAGGUUAUCUUUGUUAGUCUUUAGCUUUUAUAUCUCAUUGUCCAUACUUUCCACUUUAGUACAAAGUGUAGUAAUGACUUUGAGUAGCUUUUCAAUUUUAUCUUCGUCUUUGUUUUCAGUAGUCUGAGUAGCUUUGUCUUAAUAUGUAGUCUGCAACACCAUUUUAUUAGUCUUUAUCACUUCAAUUGUAAAUGUAAAGUUUAAUAUAUUUAAUACCAAUCUUCUAAUUUCUUUCGUUAUUAC